rnacentral:rRNA from 1 species
UACGGAGGAUGCAAGCGUUAUCCGGAAUGAUUGGGCGUAAAGCGUCCGCAGGUGGCUAUGUAAGUCUGCUGUUAAAGAGUCUAGCUCAACUAGAUAAGAGCAGUGGAAACUACAAGGCUAGAGUACGUUCGGGGCAGAGGGAAUUCCUGGUGUAGCGGUGAAAUGCGUAGAGAUCAGGAAGAACAUCAGUGGCGAAGGCGCUCUGCUAGGCCGUAACUGACACUGAGGGACGAAAGCUAGGGGAGCGAAUGGG